CAAAGUAUUACCGUCCUGCGUACCAUGCACCUCGAUGUUCAUGCUUAGAUUGCGGGGCGGAUUAAUGGGGAACGGGUGCGUGUCCUUAACCUGCCCUUGAUCUGGGAUAGCCUGGGAAAAAGGAAAAAUACUGGAUACUACCUCUUGCCGCAUGGUGGGUGGUGGAAAGGGUUUUACUGGUUUUGGAUGGGCUCACGGCCUAUCAGCUUGUUGGUGGGGUAAUGGCUCACCAAGGCGACGACGGGUACCCGGCCUGAGAGGGUGACCGGCCACACUGGGACUGAGACACGGCCCAGACUCCUACGGGAGGCAGCAGUGGGGAAUAUUGCACAAUGGGCGGAAGCCUGAUGCAGCGACGCCGCGUGAGGGAUGACGGCCUUCGGGUUGUAAACCUCUUUCAGUAGGGAAGAAGCGAGAGUGACGGUACCUGCAGAAGAAGCGCCGGCUAACUACGUGCCAGCAGCCGCGGUAAUACGUAGGGCGCAAGCGUUGUCCGGAAUUAUUGGGCGUAAAGAGCUCGUAGGCGGUUUGUCGCGUCUGCUGUGAAAGCCCGGGGCUCAACCCCGGGUCUGCAGUGGGUACGGGCAGACUAGAGUGCAGUAGGGGAGACUGGAAUUCCUGGUGUAGCGGUGAAAUGCGCAGAUAUCAGGAGGAACACCGAUGGCGAAGGCAGGUCUCUGGGCUGUUACUGACGCUGAGGAGCGAAAGCAUGGGGAGCGAACAGGAUUAGAUACCCUGGUAGUCCAUGCCGUAAACGUUGGGCACUAGGUGUGGGGGACAUUCCACGUUUUCCGCGCCGUAGCUAACGCAUUAAGUGCCCCGCCUGGGGAGUACGGCCGCAAGGCUAAAACUCAAAGGAAUUGACGGGGGCCCGCACAAGCGGCGGAGCAUGCGGAUUAAUUCGAUGCAACGCGAAGAACCUUACCAAGGCUUGACAUUCACCGGACCGCCCCAGAGAUGGGGUUUCCCUUCGGGGCUGGUGGACAGGUGGUGCAUGGUUGUCGUCAGCUCGUGUCGUGAGAUGUUGGGUUAAGUCCCGCAACGAGCGCAACCCUCGUUCUAUGUUGCCAGCACGUGAUGGUGGGGACUCAUAGGAGACUGCCGGGGUCAACUCGGAGGAAGGUGGGGAUGACGUCAAAUCAUCAUGCCCCUUAUGUCUUGGGCUUCACGCAUGCUACAAUGGCCGGUACAAAGGGUUGCGAUACUGUGAGGUGGAGCUAAUCCCAAAAAGCCGGUCUCAGUUCGGAUUGAGGUCUGCAACUCGACCUCAUGAAGUCGGAGUCGCUAGUAAUCGCAGAUCAGCAACGCUGCGGUGAAUACGUUCCCGGGCCUUGUACACACCGCGGAGACACAAAGUUGGUAACACCCGAAGCCGGUGGCCUAACCCCUUGUGGGAGGAGCCGUCGAAGGUGGACUGAAUUUAGCACCCC
rnacentral:rRNA from 1 species